rnacentral:rRNA from 1 species
UGCCAGCCGCCGCGGUAAUACGGAGGGGGUUAGCGUUGUUCGGAAUUACUGGGCGUAAAGCGCACGUAGGCGGACUGUUAAGUUAGAGGUGAAAUCCCGGGGCUCAACCCCGGAACUGCCUUUAAUACUGGGAGUCUAGAGAUCAGGAGAGGUUAGUGGAAUACCGAGUGUAGAGGUGAAAUUCGUAGAUAUUCGGUGGAACACCAGUGGCGAAGGCGACUAACUGGACUGAUACUGACGCUGAGGUGCGAAAGUGUGGGGAGCAAACAGGAUUAGAUA